rnacentral:rRNA from 1 species
GACGGGGGAUGCAAGCGUUAUCCGGAAUCACUGGGCGUAAAGCGUCUGUAGGUGGUGAUGCAAGUCACUGGUGCAAAACUCUGGCUCAACCGGAGGAAAGCCAGUGAAACUGCAUGACUAGAGUGUGGGAGAGGUAGAAGGAAUUCCCUGAGUAGCGGUGAAAUGCGGAGAUACAGGGAAGAACACCGGAGGCGAAAGCGUUCUACUGGAACACACCUGACACUGAGAGACGAAAGCUAGGGGAACGAAUGGG